AACCCACGAAGAAAUAGACAUGGCGUGAUAUUGCUUCGGCUUAUCAAAUUUAAGGUCUAUAUGCGUUCUAGUAAAACUGAUGAGCCGAACCAAUAUCACUCUUGUAUGUUCCUUUGAAAAAUGUGAAGGUUUCUUGAAUAGAGAAGCAACUAGCGUUCACAAAUCUCUUACCGAGUGCACAACAUAAUUCUUUUUUAUUGAUCGUGAUUUUUCAAACUAAUUUUGAAGGGAGGUCCACUCUGCGGCCGGCGGAUGUUCUUGUUUUUGGUUGGACAGGAGGGAAACACGCUUAUGUGGACCUCACAGAAGUAUCCCCUCUUGUUGGGCUCAUGGAAAAUCGUUUCGUGGCUGGUCAGGCUAUGUUGAAGGCAAAAUCAGGGAAAGUUGUUAAGCAUGAAAAAGUUUGUGCUGAUAAUCAAUAUGUAUCCAUUCUCUUUGCUUUUGAUACUGUUGGUUCCCUUGCUCCUGAAGCUGUUGGUUUUCUGGACAGAGUACAGAGGGUCGUGCACAACCAUUUCUCAACGGCAAGGAACCAGAGUUUUGUUUUCGGUAGAAUUGGAUUUGCUACUCAAAAGGGGGGUUGCAGUGCAGCUUGUUGCCCGUUUACAUGUCAUUCUCAUCAGGAUGGUCUCGACGAUUCAUUACGUUGUUCCAUGUCAUGACGAGCUUGAAGUUUGGCUGCAAUCAUCCCAUAGCACUUAGAUGGGCUCAUGAGGGUGUACCCUUAAAAGAACAACCUUUAAUGGUCAAGUUAGUAUCGAUAGAAGAAGUAUGUAGGACAACUGUGAGAUGUCGACCUAGUAGAGAGAGAAAUGCCGCGCAAUUCCUUUUUUCUUAAUUGGUGUGCCCUCCCGUAAAUAGGGAGGGGUUAUGUAUAAGCUUGGCGAGGCUAUAUGUAUGGGUCAAGAACGUUAGUCUAACGGCGAACCAUGGCCAAGAGCCCAUUGAGAUAUCAUAAAGAAAACCCAUCUCUUAUUUACCUCAAUAGAUAUCAUAACUUGCACAUGUGCAUUUA